UACGAAGGCCCCAAGCGUUAUCCGGAAUUACUGGGCGUAAAGCGUUCGUAGGCGGAGAAUUAAGUCUGAUAUGAAAGACCGGGGCUCAACCCCGAGUUUGUGUCGGAAACUGGUUCCCUAGAAUCGGGGAGAGGUAAGUGGAACGGUACGAGUAGAGGUGCAAUUCGUUGAUACGUACCAGAACACCAAAAGCGAAGGCAACUUACUGGAACCGCAUUGACGCUGAGGAACGAAAGCGUGGGGAGCGAAA
rnacentral:rRNA from 1 species